rnacentral:rRNA from 1 species
GCCCAUAACACCUUGCUUAGCCACACCCUCAAGGGAACUCAGCAGUGAUAAACAUUAAGCCAUAAGUGAAAACUUGACUUAGUUAACGCUAAGAGGGCCGGUAAAACUCGUGCCAGCCACCGCGGUUAUACGAGAGGCCCAAGUUGACAAAUCCCGGCGUAAAGAGUGGUUAAGAAAAAUUUAAAACUAAAGCCGAAUGCCCUCAAAGCUGUUAUACGCACCCGAAGGUAAGAAGCCCAAUCACGAAAGUGGCUUU